rnacentral:rRNA from 1 species
UACGUAGGGUGCGAGCGUUGUCCGGAAUUAUUGGGCGUAAAGAGCUCGUAGGCGGUCUGUCGCGUCGGUCGUGAAAACCUGCAGCUUAACUGUGGGCGUGCGGUCGAUACGGGCAUGACUGGAGUUCGGCAGGGGAGACUGGAAUUCCUGGUGUAGCGGUGAAAUGCGCAGAUAUCGGGAGGAACACCGGUGGCGAAGGCGGUUCUCUGGGCCUGACCUGACGCUGAGGAGCGAAAGCGUGGGGAGCGAACAGG